UGGGGAAUAUUGGACAAUGGGCGAAAGCCUGAUCCAGCCAUGCCGCGUGUGUGAAGAAGGUCUUCGGAUUGUAAAGCACUUUAAGUUGGGAGGAAGGGCCAUUACCUAAUACGUGAUGGUUUUGACGUUACCGACAGAAUAAGCACCGGCUAACUCUGUGCCAGCAGCCGCGGUAAUACAGAGGGUGCAAGCGUUAAUCGGAAUUACUGGGCGUAAAGCGCGCGUAGGUGGUUUGUUAAGUUGGAUGUGAAAUCCCCGGGCUCAACCUGGGAACUGCAUUCAAAACUGACUGACUAGAGUAUGGUAGAGGGUGGUGGAAUUUCCUGUGUAGCGGUGAAAUGCGUAGAUAUAGGAAGGAACACCAGUGGCGAAGGCGACCACCUGGACUGAUACUGACACUGAGGUGCGAAAGCGUGGGGAGCAAACAGGAUUAGAUACCCGAUGUAGUCCCUGAGCGGGCUGGCAAGGCGCAU
rnacentral:rRNA from 1 species